rnacentral:rRNA from 1 species
AAACCAACCGGGAUUGCCUUAGUAACGGCGAGUGAAGCGGCAAAAGCUCAAAUUUGAAAUCUGGUACCUUCGGUGCCCGAGUUGUAAUUUGGAGAGGGCAACUUUGGGGCCGUUCCUUGUCUAUGUUCCUUGGAACAGGACGUCAUAGAGGGUGAGAAUCCCGUGUGGCGAGGAGUGCGGUUCUUUGUAAAGUGCCUUCGAAGAGUCGAGUUGUUUGGGAAUGCAGCUCUAAGUGGGUGGUAAAUUCCAUCUAAAGCUAAAUAUUGGCGAGAGACCGAUAGCGAACAAGUACAGUGAUGGAAAGAUGAAAAGAACUUUGAAAAGAGAGUGAAAAAGUACGUGAAAUUGUUGAAAGGGAAGGGCAUUUGAUCAGACAUGGUGUUUUGUGCCCUCUGCUCCUUGUGGGUAGGGGAAUCUCGCAUUUCACUGGGCCAGCAUCAGUUUUGGUGGCAGGAUAAAUCCAUAGGAAUGUAGCUUGCCUCGGUAAGUAUUAUAGCCUGUGGGAAUACUGCCAGCUGGGACUGAGGACUGCGACGUAA